GGCGAGCGAAGCGGGAAGAGCUCAAAUUUAUAAUCUGGCACCUUCGGUGUCCGAGUUGUAAUCUCUAGAAGUGUUUUCCGCGUUGGACCGCACACAAGUCUGUUGGAAUACAGCGGCAUAGUGGUGAAACCCCCGUAUAUGGUGCGGACGCCCAGCGCUUUGUGAUACACUUUCAAUGAGUCGAGUUGUUUGGGAAUGCAGCUCAAAUUGGGUGGUAAAUUCCAUCUAAAGCUAAAUAUUGGCGAGAGACCGAUAGCGAACAAGUACCGUGAGGGAAAGAUGAAAAGCACUUUGGAAAGAGAGUUAACAGUACGUGAAAUUGUUGGAAGGGAAACGCUUGAAGUCAGACUUGCUUGCCGGAGCUUGCUUCGGUUUGCAGGCCAGCAUCAGUUUUCCGGGGUGGAUAAUGACGGUUUGAAGGUAGCAGUCUCGGCUGUGUUAUAGCUUUCCGUUGGAUACAUCCUGGGGGACUGAGGAACGCAGCGUGCUUUUUGCGAAAGACUCGUCUUUUUCACGCUUAGGAUGCUGGUGGAAUGGCUUUAAACGACCCGUC
rnacentral:rRNA from 1 species